rnacentral:lncRNA from 1 species
CACACCAAAUUACCAAAUAAAUCAGUAAUGAAUCUGGGAAAAAAAACCUUCAGUAUUUCUUAUUUCACUCUCACCCAGAAGAAGAAAAUUAUUUCCUGAAAUAUUAAUGAAGAAUGUUCACUGGAGCUAAGAAAAAAGUUAACAAAGCAAUUAAGACUCAGAAAAUUGCAGAUAUCAAGUUUUCAUACAUAUUUGUUCCAUAUGAGACUUCCAAAAAAAUUCAGGAGUGCCAGUUCCAAGGGAGAUGAAGGAGUCCUGUGGGUGAUCAUGUUGACAGGAGGACUAACAAAAAUAUGUGAAAAGAAUCUUGGAUUUUCAGCUGGGAAACCUAGAAGAGAUCAUAGCCAGAGACUAUGCAUCACAUGCUGCCUUUGAAUUCAUGGCAAAAUAGAACGUCUGCAUUAAAGGAUCAACAUCUUCCAUUAAACUCCUGUGAUGUCACAACAAACUAGGACUGAAGAUCAGGGACCAGUUUGACAGGCUUUCAAAUGGACCUCCUGGAUAUGGGGAUAUAACGCAAUAGACAAGAAGGGAAUGAAAGACAGAGAGAAAAGACAAUGCUUGGAAAUAAAAAUGGUGGUGCCUUGAGGGAAGAGCAAUUGAGUAUAACUGGGUAAAUGACACAAUGGAAUUGUGCUGCUAAUUUUCCCCUGCUACACAUAUAAAUUAUGCAGAGAAUAUUGGAUUGAUAACUUCUCUGCAGUGAAAACUGCCUAUUUGCUUUCAGGGCCUGGCAGAGGUGAGAGCAGUGGUGAGAGGAAUUAGCACACAAAAAAGGAAUAAGAGACAUACAAAAUUACGUAUGACACAGAGGAUCCUGGAAAACUGUGAAAUGUACACAUGCAUCCUGAGAGUCAAAUUAGGGAAGAUACACAUUUCAUUUAACCUGAAAUUUGGGCUACCAGGUUGGCAGAUAUAAGAAGAAGCGCCUUAAAUAGUUAACAGCUUCAGCUAAUUGCUGGUUCAUAAUGAAGUUAAUAGCUCCUAGUUGAUGUUUUCUUUGCAAGCUUUAAUAAGGCUUACUUAAAACCUCUACUUUUUCUUUAAAAAGUUGCCAGCUAUGCGUAAGAAAGGCAAUAAUG